GGGUUCCCUUUCUUAUGCCCAUGAAAGUUAAGAGAAAUUUUAGCUGAAUUUUAGGAUAUUCAAUUCAAUUGAACCAAUUUCUCUCACUGAGAAUUUUUAAGGCGAGAUUGUAUUCUUCACUUUCUAUCUUAGCACGUAGAAAUUUGCAGGGAUUUAUGUGGCUGGCGAAUGAGCAAUUAACAAUUUAGCAUUUCUAUUAUUGUUUUGGAUGUAGGCAAUGCCAUUAUUAAUGCUUUGGCUUUUUGCCAAGUAACUACAUGUGUGAGUUUGACCACAUUGAACCUCUGCUCCAGUCCUGUAAUUUCCUAUGAAGAGAAAACAACUCAACUAAUUUUCCAAUAUUUGUUCUGUUACUAAUUUUCCGAUAUGUGUUCUGUUACUUAUGCAUCUAUGGCAAACAAUCCCAUCUAAGGAUGGGAUUUUGAAGUCUCUAAUUGAUUGUCUUCUUGUCAUUUGGAUUCCAGUAAUCUCUUUAUGUCCAAUUUUGAUGUUGAAAGUGUUUGUACUGUAGAAAUGCAA
rnacentral:misc_RNA from 1 species